GUAAUAAUAACAAAAAUAAACAAUUUCCCAGUUUGAAUAGAGGAAUUAAUAAUUCUCUAAUUGUUUGAUCUGGUUUCAGAUUGAUGACGAUGAAUCAUCGCACGCAAAUUCCGCUGAAAAGACCCUGCCAGCUGGUGUGUGGAAGGAAAUCAAGUAAAUAAGUAUCAUCGUUCCGUCCUCCCACCGAUGAUGUUAGACAGAGGGUGUCCAACGCGGAAGCACCGUCUAACAUUCCAAGCCAGCUAAUAAUCAGCGCGGCCGUUACUCUGGGUAACGAGGGGUCGGAGGCGCAGUUUCCCACUCAAAAUGAAAAACCCGAACGCGACCCGAGCGCAGAAGGGGGAGGAUGGGUGACGCUUGCAUGCACCGGGUGCUUUCGACGGCGUGGUGGGGAAACCUCGUGCCCGAUGCCGCCACGCACACCUCUACCCCAACAAGUCUAGCCUUAAUAGUCAUCCACUGGAAGCCGAAGACAGUAGUAGCUUCGUGCCAGGAACAAAGUAUCAUCUCUGCUUCCAACCAGCUUUCGUUUGUUCUUCAACAAUUUGUCUCGUGGAUAUUGUUCGAACCGAACUGACAUUCGAGUGGUGUACAGUGCGAGAAGAAUAGUGAUACGCUUGUGUGAUCUUGUGAUCAGUGGGACGACUGACAGUCGGCUGCCUUCGAUCGGACCUCAUCGGCUCGUCCUAAUUGAAAUAGCGCCGGUUCGAUCGAAGUGCAGCCGCGCUUGAACUGGACACAACUGAACCUUUUUUCGAAUCGAGCGGCGCGAAGGUAGUGCAAAUAUUACGGAUUUUAAAAAUAAAUUCUGGGUGCUGUUGUACAGUUUAUGUUUAUGUUCAAUCCAAGUGACAGAGGCGCCGGUGGAAAUAUACAGUGCAGCUUUUCUUUGUCGUCCAAGUUCCAUAAUACACGUUCUCUCAUUGUUAGCUUAAUUAUUUAUUGUUAUGUAAAACAUUUGUAUUUUUUUGUAAUGCGACUUAUUGUUAAAUCUGUAUUUCUACUUAAGGUACGAGACUCGGGUAUCAUAUUCGCGUGGGAUAACAAUGAUCGCUGGAUUUUUUUAGGGAAUGAUUCAUCUAUAGCCAGGCAACAGAAUCAUUGUUUAUUGCAUCGAGUCUCGUACCCUUGGACACAAUGAUACACGCUAGACUCGACUGGGUGACGCACGAAAUUUAUUCGAUUGGAGUGGUCAUGUACAAAAAUAAAAAUAAAGUCAUUUAGUGAGA